GCAGUGGUGGUUCACGGUAGAAUUCCUGCCUUCCAUGCAGAAGAUCCAAGUUUGAUUCCCAGCCAAUGCA
rnacentral:tRNA from 1 species